rnacentral:rRNA from 1 species
CCUACGGGUGGCAGCAGUCGGGAAUAUUGCGCAAUGGGGGCAACUCUGACGCAGUGACGCCGCGUGUGGGAAGAAGUUUUUCGGAAUGUAAACUAUUGUCGUAGGGGACGAGAAAGGACAGUACCUAAGGAGGAAACUCCGGCUAACUACGUGCCAGCAGCCGCGGUAAAACGUAGGGAGCGAGCGUUAUCCGGAAUUAUUGGGGGUAAAGGGUGCGUAGACGGGAAAACAAGAUAGUUGUGAAAUCCCUGGGCUUAACUGAGGAACUGCAACUAAAACUAUUUUUCUUGAGUGCAGGAGAGGUAAGUGGAAUUCCUAGUGUAGCGGUGAAAUGCGUAGAUAUUAGGAGGAACACCAGUGGCGAAGGCGACUUCCUGGACUGCAACUGACGUUGAGGCACGAAAGUGUGGGGAGCAAACAGGAUUAGAUACCCGAGUAGUC